rnacentral:rRNA from 1 species
UGGGGAAUAUUGCACAAUGGGCGCAAGCCAGAUGCAGCCAUGCCGCGUGUAUGAAGAAGGCCUUCGGGUUGUAAAGUACUUUCAGCGGGGAGGAAGGGAGUAAAGUUAAUACCUUUGCUCAUUGACGUUACCCGCAGAAGAAGCACCGGCUAACUCCGUGCCAGCAGCCGCGGUAAUACGGAGGGUGCAAGCGUUAAUCGGAAUUACUGGGCGUAAAGCGCACGCAGGCGGUUUGUUAAGUCAGAUGUGAAAUCCCCGGGCUCAACCUGGGAACUGCAUCUGAUACUGGCAAGCUUGAGUCUCGUAGAGGGGGGUAGAAUUCCAGGUGUAGCGGUGAAAUGCGUAGAGAUCUGGAGGAAUACCGGUGGCGAAGGCGGCCCCCUGGACGAAGACUGACGCUCAGGUGCGAAAGCGUGGGGAGCAAACAGG